CUAUUAUUGUACGUUUACAAAUAGGUAUUUGCAUUUUACAUAAAUAACUGGUCUAUAAAAACUAUUUAUUUUCCGAGUUUUUGCGAAUUUACGUGAAUCUAUUGGAAAUAUAUUUUUCAUCGUAGUAAAAUGCAUUUAGGACGAAGGUCUUCGUUUUUAAACGAGUUAAAAAUAGACACAUGCUAGAAAAUUAUGUAUGUCACGCAAAAUUGCAGAAU